rnacentral:rRNA from 1 species
GACGAACGCUGGCGGCGUGCCUAAUACAUGCAAGUCGAACGCAGUGGGGACGGGUGAGUAACACGUUGGUAACCUCCCAUCAGAGGGGAUAACACUUGGAAACAGGUGCUAAACCGAUACUGAUGGAUGGACCCGCGGUGCAUUAGCUAGUUGGUGGGGUAACGGCUCACCAAGGCCACGAUGCAUAGCCGACCUGAGAGGAUGGUCGGCCACACUGGGACUGAGACACGGCCCAGACUCCGACGGGAGGCAGCAGUGGGGAAGAUUCGGCAAUGGUCGAAAGUCUGAUCGAGCAACGCCGCGUGAGUGAAGAAGGUUUUCGGAUCGUAAAACUCUGUUGUUAGAGAAGCGGUAUCAAAAGAAAAAGCCACGGCUAACUACGUGCCAGCAGCCGCGGUAAUAC